CCCAUGUAUGUGUGGACAAGGCAUGAGAUACUCUCCUUUCCCUCCCUCAAAAUAUCGAAGAGCAGGGCGGUACUUCCCUGUUAAAUAAACGCGUGUUGACGGAGUGGAUGCCGAAAUAAAUGGACAGUUGGUGGAGGUGGCCCACAGUGAUUAUAAAGAAGCAACCUGAGAGAGAAAAAAGUCUUAUUUUUUCCCAGCCCUAUCUAGCUUGCCUCUAAGCACUGCCCCCCAUUCAAGGGUGCAGAAGUGCGCGUUAGGUUGUGUGAAUGGGCGCGCCUGUCCAUCAGGGCAGCCACAUUCAUGUCCGGAACACUGCGCCAUUCAUCCGGCCCCAGCCUCCAACCUGCCUCGCUGAAUAUCAACGCAGGCAGAGGGGGAAUGAGGGGUGUCGGGGGGCGGGAGACCACAGCCAAUUCAACAGACAUUAUUCUGCAUAAAUAGGUGCUGCAGAAAACUGUAGAAAGAGACACCUACAUUCUGUUCGCAUUUAUAAUCUGGAGUAACAGUUGGUGGGACAUGAUGUUUUUUAAAAUUUGUUUUUAACUGUUAAAAUCAUUGUCAACUAAUCUCAACCAUGAACCAUUAAUAACUUAAUAAGUAUGCACUCUAUAGGUUUACAAAUAACAUUUUUAUUUUAGCAUUUACGCAUGAAACGAUUAUAGCGUCUGAACUUUAAACUGAGAACUUUCUUUUCCCUCUUGUGGGUCAUGGGGAUACACACAAACAGAUAAAGCUCCCGCCCUUUAAGCCAGCAUAUUACUGCCAUUGUUUUGAUGCAGUAGCUUUGCGGUACAGUCAAGACAUACUUGGGGUAGGAAACAACAGUUGUGCGAGCGAUUAACAGGCGGUGUAGCCACUGAUGCAUUUGCCCCUGGUUUGCUUGACUGAAAGGCUCUGUUGCCUCUCUGUGAUCAGAGUGAAAGAAGUUCAAAGGUGAAGGAUUCGAAUAUGAUCCACGACUACUAGGCUGUAUUUAUGAAUAUAUGUCAGCUUUUCAAAGUGUCACCUACUGGUUUUGUAUCUUUUGUAUCUGCUUGCUUCUUGCGUCUAGAUUCUCCUCACUCGUUUGUCAUUUACUUCUCAGUAAUGCUGGAAACUAACAAACAAAAAAAUUUAAAACAGUGCAGACCUUGGAAAAAGUACAAAUAUUUCACUUUCAUGCAGUACUAAAAUCUACCAAUAGAUGUCAAUCUUGCCCCUAUAAUUGUAAUGAAGCCGCAUGACUUUGGCUGUUUGUUACUGUGUUGGGGCAAAGCAGGGGAUCCCAAAUAACCUGAGUUACACUUGUGAUUAAAUUUAACUUGCCAUCAGUAAAUCAUAUCUUAAAUACAUUCUUAAAAAAUAUCCUAAAUUAAUCAUUUCUAUUAUAGGCCUACUUAUUGACAUCUGGGAUGACUGAUGGUAUGCUGCUUUUUGUAAACAGGUAACCCAACUCUCACUCCAAAUCCACACGACGGCCCUACUGUUGACCCACAGGAUGGUAACUAGCUCACUUUGUGACAACAAAUAUAAGCUGAAACAUAUCUGAGGUUCAAAAGCACAAGCCAAAUAAAGUUGUGAGUUUCAGCAUGUAUUUUUGCUUUGAUUUAGCUUAAAUCCACAAGUUAUCUAAACUUAAACAUAAAUACAUUAGUCAUACCUUUAUUAAGAAUAAAGCAGGUGAAUAUGUGUGUUCCUGUCUGUAAACAUUUUAGCUUUCACUUUUUUUUUCUGAAUAACAACAAAGUGAUUGGCUCUGUGGCCGAAGCCUCUUUGCCUGUGAUUGGAUGAUUGCCAGUUCCUGACGCAGUACAGUCACAUGUCCGUGGGCCCUUGAGCGAGGCGGUUAAUCCCCAGCUCAAGGUGUGCUGCACGCAGUUUGACCCUGCACUGCGACCCCCAGACUUGUGCUCACCUGUAUAUGUGUCUGUGUGCCUCAUGGAGAGCGAUGUGGGAUAUUAGGUUGAGGAUAGAAAUAAAGCAGCAGGUGAAUAUGUGUGUUCCAGUCUACAAACAUAUCAACAGCUCCCUGCAAACCAAGAACAAGUUAAACUUUGUGGGACCACAAAACUAAACCUGCUGAUGAAUGCGGGUUGUGCAGCGCAGUCAAACCACGGUGCCAUGUGCUAAAUGUAGACCCAGCACUGUUGUGUUGGCUAAGCAGCCUCUGAUCACAACCACCUAAAUGUCAAUUGAGUUUCAUGUCUGAGCAGAAUAGAGUGCACAUGUGAUCAAAAGCUUUGUUAUUGCCCUUAUAAGGCAAUUUCCACCUCACUAAAUUUCCAGCAUGAAACACUGAGUGACAGCAGUUGUCAUCAUGGAGAGACUCAUUGUGGUCUUUGCGUUGUGUUGUAAGUACUUAUUUUGCAGCUCUGUUUAUUUGUAUAUUUGAUUCAGGACCUUUGAAAUGCAUCUGCUGGGGUGUUUCAUUGGUUGCUUGGUAUCUGUUCACCUCUGCCUCUGUUUCUUCAGGUCAAGACAACUUGGUCCACUCGGCUGUCAGAGCAGUCAGUGUUGGGGAAACAGUUGUACUGGACUGCGAUCUGAUUUUCUUGAAUAGCACAGUUGUGUGGCUUGGACAGCGCUGGGGCGAGGUUCCUUUCAUUAUACUGACUAAGGAAAAUAACAUUGACAGAUACUUCAUAGGCUAUGACAAACGUUUUUCUAUUGUACAUGACACAACCAGUAAUUUGUCCAGCCUAAAGAUUUGCAACAUUACUGCUUCAGACCUGGGACUGUUCUACUGUGCGGAACAUUUUUUCAAAGUUUCCAUGGUUAUAGGUUCUUCUUACAAUCUUACGCUUACAGAAUUCAAUGAAAAUUCAACCCCUCCACUCACCACAGUGCCACAUCACCCAGCGGCGUGCACUGACCCCGGGAAUCUGUCCAAGACUGUGGUGACCGCUCUAAUCUCUGCUUUGGUGGUCGGCCUGCUCUCCUCUGCUGGUUUUUAUUUUUAUACCCUCUGUCGAAGACCA